GAAGGAUAUGGAAAGCGAUGUGUUCAUUUCUCGAAGUCCAGUUACUCCUGCUAAUGGGAUGUCUGCAAUAUUGAUUCCAGCCCAUAAACCAAUUAUUAGUCAACUCUGUGAUGAGAGCCCUCAAUGGUCAGAUUCAAUGGCAACUCCUCCC